rnacentral:rRNA from 1 species
UACGGAGGAUGCGAGCGUUAUCCGGAUUUAUUGGGUUUAAAGGGUGCGCAGGCGGCACGGCAAGCCGGCGGUCAAAUCGCGGGGCUCAACCCCGCCCAGCCGUCGGAACUGCCGGGCUAGAGUGGGCGAGAAGUGCGCGGAAUGCGUGGUGUAGCGAUGAAAUGCAUAGAUAUCACGCAGAACUCCGAUUGCGAAGGCGGCGCACCGGCGCCCUACUGACGCUCAGGCACGAAAGCGUGGGUAUCGAACAGG